CGUACACUCCUGCGGGAGGCAGCAGUGGGGAAUAUUGCACAAUGGGCGCAAGCCUGAUGCAGCCAUGCCGCGUGUAUGAAGAAGGCCUUCGGGUUGUAAAGUACUUUCAGCGGGGAGGAAGGCGAUAAGGUUAAUAACCUUGUCGAUUGACGUUACCCGCAGAAGAAGCACCGGCUAACUCCGUGCCAGCAGCCGCGGUAAUACGGAGGGUGCAAGCGUUAAUCGGAAUUACUGGGCGUAAAGCGCACGCAGGCGGUCUGUCAAGUCGGAUGUGAAAUCCCCAGGCUCAACCUGGGAACUGCAUUCGAAACUGGCAGGCUAGAGUCUUGUAGAGGGGGGUAGAAUUCCAGGUGUAGCGGUGAAAUGCGUAGAGAUCUGGAGGAAUACCGGUGGCGAAGGCGGCCCCCUGGACAAAGACUGACGCUCAGGUGCGAAAGCGUGGGGAGCAAACAGGAUUAGAAACCCCGGUAGUCCCA
rnacentral:rRNA from 1 species